GUGUGGCAAAAAAUAUCCCCCACACCAUUACACCACCACCACCAGCCUGAACUGUUGAUACAAGGCAGGAUGGAUCCAUGCUUUCAUGUUGUUGACGCCACAUUCCCUGUGUCCUCAUAAUUUAAAACACUUAAAAAGCAUACUUAACGUUAUUUUAUUUAUUUAUUUUUUUGACCUUCAGAAUUUGCCCCUGGUUUCUGGUUAAGAGUUUGAUACAGGGAUAAGGAGAGGAUAAAUCCAAAUAACAAGUGUUUUUACUGUAAAAUACACUCUGCCCAUGGAGAGUCCUCAUGAACCACUAAAACCAGCAUGUGUUUUGUGUUAGUAAGAGUGCUGCCUUUACAUUUGUCCAGAAUUAGGUUUACCUGCUGUUUUGCACCACCUCUAUGUCAGACCAGUGUGGGUUCCCGUGAUGAAUUAAGGGUAGAAUAAUUGGCAAGGUCCUGCUCUCACUCAGGUCCUCCACUGGGGUUAAAUGCACUCCCUGCAUCCGUCUUAAACACCGUCUCAAUGUGAAACUGCAGGUGACAGAUCAGCUGUGAUUUAUCUGCUGUAGUUACUUUAUCUCCCAUACCUCUCUAUCCUUUUUUUCUUACGAUUCGUGACGGCUUUUCAAUAGGUUUUAUAAAUGAAAUGAUAGAUAGAUCAGACUUUGUUUGGCCGUCCUCUUCUCUCAGGUUUUGAUAGAUGCAAUCCCUCAGGUGCUCGUGUUUAUUGGUCUGAGCGAUGGCGCGCUCUGCAGAAAACGCAUUUCAAUGCCUCCGAAUGUUUUCGUCCUGUCUCAGUGGAGAUCCUGCAGAGGAAGAAGAGAAAUGAGACCGUUUCUGGAGGCAACAGAUGGGUAAAGACGCUUUUGGCUCGAGCACCCACCUGAGAUGAUUCAUCUAUAGGAGAGAGACAUCACUAGUUGUCUGGAAAACAGCUCACACAGAUGCGUCUGCAGGCGACUGGCAGCCGGCCUGGACGGAGGGGAUUUUCAUGCUAUGCUAAUAUCCAUAGCUGCAGGCUAACAGCUCCAGUGUAAUGAUGCUAACAUGCCAGAGCCAUAUGGAAAAACAAAGGCAGGACUUUUUACUGGGAAUACCAAUCUCAGUAUGCAUCAGCACGGAGGGUGUGAUUCAGGUGACAGAUUUUAAUGAGAAUUCCUAACAGAGCACAAACACAUUUUGGCAUGUUGACUUGCUGUUUUGUAUGACUAGAGGAUGUUCGGAAAGGACUGCUAGCUAACUUAGAGUCUUUAAAGCUAAAGUAUGUGAAAGUCUAACCUAAAGAUGAAGGUACCCAACCAUGUACUUGAUGUAUACAGUGAAGCAGUGCAAAUAACACUAAAAAUUAUGAAGAAA